CUGCCCGGUGACUUAGUUGUUAAACGGCCGCGGUACCCUAACCGUGCAAAGGUAGCAUAAUCAUUUGCCUUUUAAUUGGAGGCUGGUAUGAAUGGUUUGACGAGAGCUAUGCUGUCUCUUUUGGAAUAUUUAAAAAUUAACUUUUAGGUGAAGAGGCCUAAAUUUGUUUAAGGGACAAGAAGACCCUGUUGAGCUUUAGUGAAAUUGUAGAUGUAUUAUAUGGUGUAUUUGUGCACUGAUUUGUUAUGUAUUUAUUACAGUAAUAGGUUUAUAAUUAAUCUUUAGUUGGGGCGACUGAGGAACAUGAGAAGCUUCCUUGAUUAGAGAUAUUGGUACAGUUAUUGUUGUUCUUACAGUACGUUUAUGUUAUUUUGAUCCAAUUUGUUUGAUUAAGAGAAAAAGUUACCACAGGGAUAACAGCGUAAUCUUUCUGGAGAGAUCUAAUCGAAAGAAGGGUUUGCGACCUCGAUGUUGGACUAAGAUAUCCUAAGGGUGCAGAAGCUCUUGAAGGUUGGUCUGUUCGACCAUUAAAAUCUU
rnacentral:rRNA from 1 species